rnacentral:rRNA from 1 species
CACGUAGGAGGCAAACGUUAUCCGGAUUUACUGGGCGUAAAGCGCGUGUAGGUGGUUCUGUAAGUAGGGCGUGAAAGCUCCCGGCUCAACUGGGAGAGGCCGUUCUAAACUGCAGAGCUAGAGGAUGGUAGAGGGAGGUGGAAUUCCAGGUGUAGCGGUGGAAUGCGCAGAUAUCUGGAGGAACACCAGUGGCGAAGGCGGCUUCCUGGUCUGUAACUGACACUGAGGCGCGAAAGCGUGGGGAGCAAACAGGAUUAGAUACCCGCGUAGU